AUUGAACGCUGGCGGCAGGCCUAACACAUGCAAGUCGAACGAGUGGCGGACGUGUGAGUAAUGUCUGUGAAACUGCCUGAUGGAGGGGGUUAACUAUUGGAAACGGUAGCUAAUACCGCAUACCAUCGGAUGUUCCCCGAGGGGCUUAGCAAGUAGGUGGGGUAACGGCUCACCUAGGCGACGAUCCCUAGCUGGUCUGAGAGGAUGACCAGCCACACUGGAACUGAGACACGGGACAGACGCCUACGGGAGGCAGCAGUGGGGAAUAUUGCACAAAGGGCGCAAGCCUGAAGAAGCCAAGCCGCGUGUAUGAAGAAGGCCUUCGGGUUGUAAAGUACUUUCAGCGAGGAGGCGUUACUCGCAGAAGAAGCGCCGGCUAACUCCGUGCCAGCAGCCGCGGUAAUAC
rnacentral:rRNA from 1 species